GCAUAUCAAUAAGCGGAGGAAAAGAAACCAACAGGGAUUGCCUCAGUAACGGCGAGUGAAGCGGCAACAGCUCAAAUUUGAAAUCUGGCUCUUUCAGAGUCCGAGUUGUAAUUUGUAGAGGAUGCUUCGGAAUGGUCCCAGUCUAAGUUCCUUGGAACAGGACGUCACAGAGGGUGAGAAUCCCGUAUGUGACUGGGUAACCGGCCCAUGUGAAGCUCCUUCGACGAGUCGAGUUGUUUGGGAAUGCAGCUCUAAAUGGGUGGUAAAUUUCAUCUAAAGCUAAAUACCGGCCAGAGACCGAUAGCGCACAAGUAGAGUGAUCGAAAGAUGAAAAGCACUUUGGAAAGAGAGUUAAAAAGUACGUGAAAUUGUUGAAAGGGAAGCGUUUGCAACCAGACUUGCCUGCAGUUGAUCAACCGGUGUUCUCACCGGUGCACUCUUCUGCAGACAGGCCAGCAUCAGUUUGGGUGGUUGGAUAAAGGCUGGAGGAUUGUAGCUCCUCUCGGGGAGAACUUAUAGCCUCCAGCGUCAUGCAGCCUGCCCGGACUGAGGACCGCGCUUCUAGCUAGGAUGCUGGCGUAAUGGUUGUAAACGACCCGUCUUGAAACACGGACCAAGGAGUCUAACAUCUAUGCGAGUGUUUGGGUGUCAAACCCGUACGCGUAAUGAAAGUGAACGGAGGUGGGAAGCGCAAGCUGCACCAUCGACCGAUCCUGAUGUCUUCGGAUGGAUUUGAGUAUGAGCAUAGCUGUUGGGACCCGAAAGAUGGUGAACUAUGCCUGAAUAGGGUGAAGCCAGAGGAAACUCUGGUGGAGGCUCGCAGCGGUUCUGACGUGCAAAUCGAUCGUCAAAUUUGGGUAUAGGGGCGAAAGACUAAUCGAACCAUCUGGUAGCUGGUUCCUGCG
rnacentral:rRNA from 1 species